rnacentral:rRNA from 1 species
UACGGGGGGGGCAAGCGUUGUUCGGAAUUACUGGGCGUAAAGGGCUCGUAGGCGGCCACCUAAGUCAGACGUGAAAUCCCUCAGCUUAACUGGGGAACUGCGUCUGAUACUGGAUGGCUUGAGUUCGGGAGAGGGAUGCGGAAUUCCAGGUGUAGCGGUGAAAUGCGUAGAUAUCUGGAGGAACACCGGUGGCGAAGGCGGCAUCCUGGACCGACACUGACGCUGAGGAGCGAAAGCCAGGGGAGCAAACGGG